rnacentral:tRNA from 1 species
GGGAGCAGGAAGUAGUCUGGUGACGCUCCCGGUCUUCAAAACCGGUGGGGGGCGUAUCCCGUCCCUGGUGGAUUCGAUUUCCAUCUGCUCCCGCCA